GUUAUUUCAUCUUCUAUAAUUACAUGGCUCUAUGAUUAGUAUGGUUGCCACCCUACACCCCACUUUAACCAAGGAAGCAAUCAAGGCCCAGACAGACGAAGUAGAUUUCCAAGGUUGGCUUCAGAAUUCACGUCCUUAACUCUCACGCUAGUGCCUGUGUGUGUCUCAUGUGUUCAUAGAGAUGGAAAAUGUGGGUUUUGGAAAGAAAAUAAUAGUGUAUUUCUGUACUGUGCCACCCGAUUCUCUCUUGAGAGCGAACAAGGCCCGAAUUCUUCCACAGGUUAAGUCCUAGAGGCUCAGGGCUCCCCCCGCUCCCGGGAAAUGCCCUCUGCUGAAGGGAGGUGCCCCCUCCAUGUUCACACCUCCUUCUGCAGGGGUUGAGGGGGGCUCUCACCCAGUGAAUGGCAGAUACAAAGGCCCCUUGCUUCCCUUUCGGACAGUUCUUCCAGGCCACCCAAGCUCCCAAGUUCUCCCUAUGAAUCAACUCCAGCCUUUUUGGAAACCACAUCCAGGCUGAACUCUCUCCCCAGCCCUGUUCGCUUCACUCCUCUGAGGCUCUGCAACCCUGAGAAGUCAGGAGAGAUCUUCAUGGUUCCAAGGUGACUUUGCUUCCCGUCUUAUGGGCAAGCUGUGUAUCCCAGCAUAUCAAGCAGAGCUCCAGGAGUUUCUCCACUGGGCAAAGGCCUGGCCCUUCCUGAUCUGUUACCAGUGUGUAUUUGGGGAAUUAGUAGGAAAGGUGGAGAAAUAAAGUAUGAUACUGUCACUAA